GCUCAUUGUAGAGAUUAUCCUCUGUGACAUGCUAAUUCUUUAAAUUCAGGUAGUUUUUGUUUUUGUUUUUACUUGGAAUGAGGGGUAUUGAUGUUCUUUCACUUAUAAAUGACCUCCAAACACUAUAUUAACCUAUUUCCAUUAGUUUUGAAGAGACAAGAUUGAUUAAUUCACUCUAAAAAAUCCUCUCUCAAAUCCCCCCUUGUCAAG
rnacentral:lncRNA from 1 species